rnacentral:rRNA from 1 species
GACGAACGCUGGCGGCGUGCUUAACACAUGCAAGUCGAACGGAAAGGCCCCUUUUGGGGUACUCGUGUGGCGCACGGGUGAGUAACACGUGUGUAACCUGCGCUUGACUUCGGGAUAACUUCAGUAAACUGGGGCUAAUACCGGAUAUGCAUCCUUGCUGCAUGUCUUGGGUUGGAAAGAUUCGUCGGUUUUGGAUGGACUCGCGGCGUAUCAGCUUGUUGGUGGGGGAGUGGCUUACCAAGGCUUUGACGGGUAGCCGGCCUGAGAGGGCGACCGGCCACAUUGGGACUGGGAAACGGCCCAGACUCCUACGGGAAGCAGCAGGUGGGAAUAUUGCAAAAUGGGCGGAAGCCUGAUGCAGCAACGCCGCGGGCGGGAUGACGGCCUUCGGGUUGUAAACCGCUUUCAGCAGGGGCAAAGCUUGUGGUGACGGUACCUGCAGAAGAAGCACCGGCUAACUACGUG